AUAAUAUAAUAUAAUAUAAUAUAAUAUAAUAUAAUAUAAUAUAAUAUAAUAUUUAUAGACCCGGAGCGAGGGGGAUUCGGCGAAAUAUUUCCCGAAGUGAUGAUAUUUCCCGAGGGCGAAGCCCGAGGGAAAUAUUAUCACUUCGGGAAAUAUUUCG